rnacentral:misc_RNA from 1 species
AGCACGUAUAAAUAAUAGGGUCGAAUGGAGAACCUCCUCCUUUUUUUGAGGUUGGCUAAAAACGAAAAAGGACGAAUAACGUAAUAGGAGAUAUUUCGGUUUUCUUAAACAAAGCGUUAUUUUAAAUAGUAUUUUAUUGUAAUUGUUCGCAACUGUUUUUACAGAAGGCAACCUCUAAUUAGCUGUUGUCGGUUACUUGAAAAUUACCCGAUAAAUAUUAAUGCAUUUCAUUUACGGAAACGUUUUCUAAAUUAUUAUACUCUUGCAAAUACGAGAACAUUAAUUUAUUGUUCUUCACCCAAAUCUCCAAUUGCCGUUGCAUUUUGAACUUUAUGUUCUAUCAUAUAAAGGUGACUAAAGAAUAUUCUGUGUCAAUGUCCCUACAAAAGUACUAAUGAGUGGAAUUCAAUUUCCCAUCGCGUAUAUACCAUUUUGAGCGCCAAUUAAACUUUCGAAAUGACUCUUCUUAUAUGGAGUGAUAGCAAAAAAUCUUCUUUAAGUUUUACUACCUAACUAGAUGUACGACGCGGUUCCGCCCGCUUUAUAUGUCGACAUUUGUAAAAUUUCUUAUAAUACGUAAUUCACAGCUUUUCUUUAUAUCACAUAGUAAUGUUUAUAGGGGAUUAUAGAGAGAUUAUAAUGUAUGAAGAGGCUCAUGGAAAAAUAAUCUCAAAGAUGGUAUUAUACGAAUCGGACCUACAGAAUACUGAGCGCGUUUAAACAAAUACCUUCCUUUUGCACCUUUUAUACAUGUUAGAUAUUAUUUGACAUUUAUAGUCCUCUGAAUUAGAGUAACUUUCUAUAAGUAAAAAAUUAUCAAAAUCGGUUUACUCUACAGACCUAUAACGAAGAAGUGUCACGGAUUCAGCACAACUCUUUGUUCUUCAUAAAAGCAGAAAGUUUUGCCCAGAAUUAGAUUAAUCAACGGCGGUAGCAAAUGAAAUUCAAUUUCAUAGUUUAUCAGUUGUAAACGAACGAUACCCUUUUACAACACUGUUUAUAUUACUAUACAAGAGUCGACACCCUGUUGCGCAUCACGCCUAUUAUGUCCUACAGACGUUUGAUGGGCCUGAAUAAUGUAUAGGCGCCUUCUUCGUUCUUAGGAAAGUCAAGUUUUCUGUUAAAUUGUUAGUACAGAGUUGUCGCGUCGAGUGUGAACGUGCUCUGAACGAUGUUGGUAUUCAAUGAGACCUAUUAUUACUUUAUUAUAUACUUUAGCUUCUGUUACCGCUGACGUGGAAAUAAAUAAUACUCCUUAUGACCUUUUUUCUGUAAAAAUACUAGGUAUUCCCGUUAUAGUAGAAUUUAUAUUUUAUUUUUCAUAUUUGAUGUAUGGAUCAUAAAGAUACCUUACUGACCAAAAUUUAUAACAUUUUUCAUACUUAUAGGCUAACAAGCAUACGGCCCACCUGAAGGUAACCGAGUGAAAACUUUGUAUUACGGAAAUUAAGUCCAGACUAUGACACUCAGCAAUGACGCAGCUUUCAUCGGUUCUAAAGUACCAGUGAUUAUUCCUUACAAACCUACAAACAAACUAAAAAAAAAACCUUAUCUCGCUCUAGUAGUAGCCUAUCUACUUGUUCAAUUAGAAUUUGUAUAGUCAAAACUUUUAUUUAUUUAUUUACAGAAAAAAGAUACAAUUUAUGUGAUAAUCAGUGCAGCAAAAACAAUUAUUUACAACAUUUUAAACUUUAUAAAAAAAAAUUGUUGUUAGUAUUUUAAUGCUAAGUAGUAGUUUACUUCGUAGGUAUCACAAUAUCAAUAACACAGGCCCACAAUAAAAAAAGUGCUCUGUACCUUCGACCAGACCCAUCUAAGGGAAUGUAUUUUGAUGCGCUGAAUCAUUUGAAUUACAUAAUUUUGAGUAAUUUCCCAAAAACCUCCAAAAAUGGCUAAAAAUCGCAAAAAAUGCAGUUGUACCUAAUUAUGAAAAAUUAAUUGUCAAAUACAAAAUAAUAAGAAAUGUUUGAUACAGACCGUUAUCUUUGUUUUUCUGGAAUUUAGAACACCAACAAUUUUAUACAUGUUUUAGAAUAACUUAACUUACUAAACUAC